AUUGAAAACAUAGUCAUGAAAGAAAAUUAGAGAGACAAACCACAACACAAAUUUAACGUGGUUCACCCCGUAGGACUACGUCCACGGGCAAGCCGGCAAGUAUUCUACUAUCAAAAGAGAAUUUACAGGGGAUACAUUGUUAUCUCAGAAGGAGAAAAUGGAAAGAGAAAAUUGAUGAAAAAACAUCACCAAGAAUACCUUCCUUGUGAUUACCCAAAACACGAUUUACCCCGCUUCACUUCGGAUGACCCAAGAACAUAAGCAACACAAGCUCAUACCAUUUCUCCCAAAUAUAGAACAAGAAAAUCCUUCUUCAUCUCCUUCCCUUUCUCAACACAAUCCAAGGAUGCCCUAGCCCCUUUUCUAAAGAGAGAGAGAAAGAAGAGUUCAAAAAC
rnacentral:lncRNA from 1 species